rnacentral:rRNA from 1 species
GAGACAGCAGCCGCCGCGGUAAUACAGAGGGUGCGAGCGUUAAUCGGAUUUACUGGGCGUAAAGCGUGCGUAGGCGGCUUCUUAAGUCGGAUGUGAAAUCCCUGAGCUUAACUUAGGAAUUGCAUUCGAUACUGGGAAGCUAGAGUAUGGGAGAGGAUGGUAGAAUUCCAGGUGUAGCGGUGAAAUGCGUAGAGAUCUGGAGGAAUACCGAUGGCGAAGGCAGCCAUCUGGCCUAAUACUGACGCUGAGGUACGAAAGCAUGGGGAGCAAACAGGAUUAGAUACCCGUGUAGUCCCUGUCUCUUAUAC